rnacentral:lncRNA from 1 species
AUGAAAUCAAAUAGAAAUAUGAAGCUGAGAAAAAGGAAGGAAUGUGUGCGGCUGUGUGAAGUAGAGUCGAGCUCAGCCAUUGGAAAGUGGAAUGAGGACCUUGCCUGCCUGUCAGAGAAGGUGCAAAAGAUGGUCCAGAAUGUUGAUUUCAUGCUACCUUUAAUGCUUAUUACUGAACUCCACUGCUGUGAAAUCAGGGUAGACUGAGGCUGCGCUUCUUAAGUCAGUGAAAGGAAAUCUGAAAAUCUGGAGAGAGGAUCUGAGAUAGAAUAUGGAAAGCAGUGAGUACUGAAGGGGGGUCUUUUCUCUACAAGGGGCAAAUGUCUGGAGUGAUCCUUAGCAGGGAAGUAUAGGAGUAAGGAUGUUUACAAGCUUUUUUAGGCUUUCUGAAUUCAGAAGUACUUACUUCGAUUCUGCUUUGCCAUUGUUUUAUUACUAUUGUUAAGAAAGCCAUGGUGCAAAGCCCCUGGAGACCCUUUUUAUUUAACUUGAAAAUACUACUAAAUCAAGGCCUUUUCAUUUAUAUUAAAAUGCUGGUAUUUAUAAAGUUGACUGUUUCAAACAAGUAUUUCAUCUAGCACACCAAUUAAUCAUUGACUAUGGGGUUAAAACACCAGAAUGUUUAAUUAAAAAAAAUAUGCUAAUCCUUCAGACUUCUCUUAUGUAUUAGGAAGGAUACAUAAUAAUAAAUAUAGCUAAGGUACAAAGUAUAUGAUUUUA